rnacentral:tRNA from 1 species
GGAGGCAGCUCAAUGAUAGAGUAUCUGCUUUCCAUGCUGAAGAUCCCAAGUUCAAUUCCUGGCAUCUCCA